GAAGCACAAUAAAACUAUUCCAAUACAUGGAAACUGCACACAAUUUAUCUACUGGGGUGUGUGUGUUAUGUUUCAAAAUGCUUUGAAUAGCAGUGAUCUUCAUGGUCAUGGUAUUCAUGAGAGAACUACUAUCUAUUGGAGAAAAACUUCAGGUAGACUUUAGACUACAGUUUAGUUAUUUAUUUACUUGCUAGGUCUUUAGAAACUAAGUUGUAUUGUUUAAUCCCAUCCUGCUUUAGAGCGUGGACAUAAGCCUGGCUCUCAACAGCCUUACCUCAUUUUGAGAAAGAGGGAGAUAUUCCAGAAGGUGUUAAGAUUAUGUGGUAAACCAUAAAGCAGGGACAUUGCUUUGAACCAUUAUUUUGCACGUGUAAAUCAAGGUGAUGACCUCAAAGAGCUCCCCUUUUCCCCCAGUAAGAGGGGAGAUGCUCUGGAUAAGACUGAGAAUGGGCCAGUUUGCUACAACUGGUUGUUGAAAAACAAAGCUCGGAGCAUCACUGAUGCCUUUAAUGGACCAAGCCUGAUCUCUGCUAGGUAUGAGUGCUGCACCUCCAAUACUUCACUUAUGCUACACUUGCUUUUUCUUUUUCUCCCCUCUACUUGCUCCCUCUGAAGUUCCAACAUGUUUCAGAAAAUGAAUCUGAUGUUGAAUGGACUGCAGUGUGUUUUCUCUCUCCCAAUCCCUACUGACAAACCAAACGCAGCAUCUAUACCAAUUGCUUUGCACAGAUUUCUCUCCCAAAGAGUGUCACCCUUCAAGGGAAGACUAAUGAUGCCAUCGCUUCUGCUGGCACUGUUAGACUUUGCACUGACUUUAGAAAACACAGAGGAAGGUGUUUCAUGGCCCUUUAUUCCUCCCUCUUAUCCUGAAGAAAAACUGCAGACACUUCUUAAACCACAGUAACUUCUUUGUUACUUUUAGGCAGGAAAAUAGAGGCAUCUAAACCACACAACAUGAAAUAUUUCUUAGAGCUCGUUCGUCAGAGUCAGAAAACAUUUCCCAGAAGAUGAUUACAUCUAGUAUACAAAAUGAAGCAGGAUUUUUGAGAAAAUAUAUUGUAUUUAUGCAUGUUUUGAAAAAAACAUUGUUGUGAGUUUUAAGAUUGACAUGUCUUUCUUAACAAGAGGAUGAAUUAAGAUUUCAGCCUUACUUUUGAACAUCAAGGCCAACUAAUAGAAAGUGAAGAGAAUGCAUGCAAACACUCAAGGUUUGUGUUGGUGUAGUGGUACACUGAUGUGUAACUGGGAGGCUAUAAACAGUUACAUCACUUUGGAGUUUAUUGUAAGAAAAAUGAGCUAUUUCUGUACAUGACUUAAAAAAUCAGCAGGUGAACAACUUUGGCAAAUUUAACUGGGAGAAUCCAGUGAUGUUUUCCUGUUCCCUCAGAAUGAAAGGGAUUUCUUUGAUAAUUAGUAACUGUAUCCUUACAUGAUACACUAAAAGUUACUUUGUCAAUGAUUCUGCAAAUUCUAAAAGUAAUAUAUCAUCUCCUUGUUUUUUUUUUUUUUCUUUUAAAUCACGAGUAUUAGAUGUGUUCUACCUGCCAGAGAUCAAUAUUCCAAAUUGUUUCUAUAAAGUACAACUGUUUUUUUCAGUGACAAAUUUAGCACAGUAUGGCUUGGUUAUUUAAGGUAUGGAUUUUUCUUGGUUGAGUUUCAACAGUUUCAAAUUGCCAGACCACUUGGUCUCAUAAAGUAGAGAAUAUUACAAGAUUAUCAAAUUUCUUAUAUCUGUAACUUCAUUCAAGUAUUUAAUUUAUGAUUCUGUAAUACCUUGUAGGACUGUCUCAUCAGAAAAUUCUACUGAAUAGUAGCUUUUCUAGCAGAGUCAUUUUUUUUUUCUCAACAAUUUGAAUUGUAUAUAGAAAUCUCUGAAGAUUUCGUUAUUUAUACUUGUGUUAAUUUAAAUGUGAUCUUCCAUAUUAAUUGCAUCUUAUGGUCUAUUCUGUUAGCUAGGAGGCUUUUCCAUGUAUCAGGCUGGUCAAUUAUUUCUGAACAAAGCAUUCCUGCUUAAGCAGCAACAGCUUUUAUAUUGACAAAAGUAUUUGUUGCAUUUGCCUGACUUCACAAAUUCCAUGACCUAUGUCUUUCAACAAAUAAAAGGCUUAAAGUUUAUGUCUUACUUGCAUCAAUUUUAUAUAUUUAGAGAUGAGCUUUACAGUUAUGAAGAAGUGAAUUACCUGUCUUGGCUUUGCAUUGUGAAGAAGGGUAAAAUAAAUUUUAGGUCAAUUUAAGACAAUAAGUUGAUAUGUAAAUAGAUAUUUAAGGAUUCUGCUGAAUAAAAAGAGGCAUACUAGGGACUUGUAUAUCUGCUCAAAAUGCUUUACUGAAUCAAGACUUCAGUGGAAAAAAAAACAACUUUAUAAUAGCCUUGUGCCACAAUACAAAUUCAACCAUGUGCAUCUGAUUACUACAUUUACUCAAUUUUAAUGAACUUUUUAAUUAUUUUACAGAAAGGAAUUCAAUUUUUUGAGUGAAAGAAACCUUUCCAGUUUAAGACUAGAAAGUAAUCAGAAAGAAUAGACAGUUUAAAAAAAUGAAAGUUAAGGAAAACAGAUUAGUGUAAUUUUGUCAGUGAUAACUGCCCUCUGACUCUUCUGGCUUUCCCUUUUAAUAAUAUUACUGUUUUUAUCUCUAUUAGUUGAAUCUGUUAAUUGUUUUCCUUUGAAAAUAAUCAAGAAAGUGAAUGUUAGUGAUGAGCUGUGAUUGACUGUGAUGAUAUUUUAUUGUGUGAUCUUUGUGGCUGGUAGAAAAGCAUUGCUGGAGACUUCUGAACAGCUGGAAUGCUAAACAGGGUAGUUUCCCCACCAGGUCAGGGUACAGAGUUUUGGGGUCCACGUGUUCUGUUCUCACUGUCAUGAGAAACUGCUCUUUAGGCAAAGGGGCACUUCGGUGUUGAAGAGGCUGCUUGUGAACGAAGCAAAGGAGGAGGUGAUGGAGGUCAUCCCGAAGUCUCUGAGAGAUUAAAGUAUUUUCUUUUCUCCUCAGAUACCCAUUCUACUCCAUCUCUGCUGCAUGAGAAGCACAAAACAUUUUACUACAAUGGAAAUUUAUAUGCAGAUUAGUUUUCCAUUGCAAUCACAAGCAGAUUCAAAUUCCUGGAGUGCUUGGAAGCGAGACUUGCAGAUCAGGUCCUCAAUGUUUUUUGCUAAGUGUAAUUCUUUACCACCCAGCUGAUGUUGCUAAUGCUGUGAUCCUCCCCUCCCUAGCCAGGAAUGGGUUAAUAUUUACCACAAAUCUAUAGCUGCUGCAUCAGUAAUGGCAACUGGAGUCAACACUGCUCAGAUGUGACAAAACAGACUCUGCAUUCACAUGUUGCACAAAAUGUGGCAUUGUCCUUGUACUUCUGCUUAGUUCUAUAGCAGCCCAUCAAAAAGAUUUGACAAUGAAUAUUCAUUUGAAAAUGGUUUUGGUCGUUGACUCAAAUUCGACUGCAUGGUGGUUGAUGGCUUACAAAAUGACAACAGUAUCUUUCCAAAUUUCUUUAGAAAAGCCUACAAGUAAUUCAAAAAUAGAGCAAGUCCUCUUCUCAAACAGAGCCAGUGACUACAAAAUGUCUCCCAAGUGAUGUGUAAAUAUUCCAUGUCUAAAUUACUCGGGGGGGGGGGGGGGGGGGGGGGAAUACUCUUUAUCUUGACUUUUUGUAUGUCUACAAGCAUAUAGAUUUGUGAGUUUUGGAAUGCCUGUACUCUGUUUCAGUGAUCCUGUUACACUUUGUAUAAUUUAUAUAGAAAACCUUGAAAAAGUGAAGAUUCACAACUAGAGGAUCGAUUGUAUUCACUAUGAACAAGAAUCAGGAUUUAUAGCAUUGAACAGGUCACUGCAUUACUCUGUUGCUAUGAAGAAGGAAAAACAAUGUGAGGAAUUAUUUAGGAGCGGAAGAACAAAACAGAAAAUAUCAGCAAGCUACUCUAUAAUACUUUCAUGCAUGGUGUCUUGAAAAUUGUGUGCAAUUCCAUUGCAGAGCUCUCAGAAGAUUGUAGUGGGAUUGAAAGUAGCACGGAGGAGGACAACAGGGAUGAUCACUGAUUCAGGACAAACUGCACAGUGAAUGAAUAACUGGACUUGUCUGACUGAAUAGAGAUGGACAGGAAUGGUGGUGCAGAGGUCUAUGAAAUUAUAUGUGUUAUAAAGUAGAUAUAGAGCAAAGAAAGGUGCAUGGUGCCUGAUGUAUCUUUGGACCUCAGCAUCUGUAAUGAUGCAGGUCAUCUGUUUGCAGCUCUUUAACCCUUCACUUGAGUUGCCUGGGGUGCCAGAGCCUUGUCAGCAGAUCUCCCUUGCAUUCCUAUGCUUUUAUGAUGGAUGCUGAGGAUCUGCAUGGCCCUGCAGCUGUAGAACCUAGUGCUCAGCUUGAGGAGCAAACUGGCGCUGGCAUGAGAAACACCCUCACCUACUCACCUCCCUUUGCUUCUUGACUUUCCACUUUUGAUUCAUACCAUGUGGUAGUCACACUGCACAACAAAGAAGGUUACCAUCAUUAAAAUACCUGAUAAACACUACCCAGAAAUGCAUGUGCUUGGAAACUGAAAAGUUGAUUGGUAAGGAACACCAGUGUGGGCAUGCUCCAGCAGUGCUAAUAGCUCCAAUGUCAUAACAAGCUGGAACCACAGCAGGCAAUUAGUAUCAAUCCCAGUAGGAAGUAUAUAGUAUUGAGGAGAAACUAUUUGGUGAGAGUAGAGUAAAACCAACCAGAGGCAGUAGGAGAACAGUAAUGGGAGACUGAGAAAAGUGAAACUUGCCUGAAGUCAUAAGGUGAGGAGGGAGAUGACAAUACUGGGAUCAGGAUCUUUCCAUCUUGCCCAUGGUUAGAGGUGCUAAAGGAAGAAAUCAAAGACAGCAGGAUGCAUAAGAUUCAAUACAGCUGUGAGUGAUCCAAGUCACCUGGAAAGUGCACAGUGUUUUGUGGUAAGUAUAGCAGAAAGGUUAAUUAGAGUAUUCCUAUUCCCUUGGUAAAUCCAGGCCUGAAAGAGAAAGGAGAUACUGUAGUGAUAUAGCUGUGAGAUGUCACUACAUCUUCUGUAUCCAGCAUGUAACAUGUGGUUAAGUAUGUAACAGCCUUUGCUUGCAUUCUUAGUAAAAACUGCAUGACAAAAGGACCAUAACCAGUAUUUUAAGUCCAGAUUCAGGUUGAAUUAUGAAUUUUCUGACACUUUAAGUUAAUGGCACAUUUCCUUGUGGCUUUUGGUUUUUGUUGGGCUUUUUUUUUUUUUUUUUUUUUUUUCCCCCUAUAUGCUUGUGGAAAACAGAUUGUGCUCGUCACCAUUCCUUAGCCUGUCAAAAUUAGCCAGAUCAACAGUGUGGGCAGUGUUGGGACAGAUCCACCAGAGAACAUCCACUCUAUUUUCCCCUUCAGAGUGCACAGAAGCUUUGCAUGCAGCUAACACUUGGUAAGGAAGCAGUAAUAAUUUUCCAGCCUGUUUUCCUGACAAACUUGCACAUAUUCAAGGGAAUUUAAAUGUUAACAAUUUCAUUUUAAGCAGAUACUGCUAUGGGAAAGAGUUGGGCAUCUUUUUAAUGAGAGUCUGCCUUCUCUCCUUGGUUGCAGUGUUUAAGUAAUAGAGAGCUACAUCGUCUGACACCUUGAGUAUAACAGAGUGUGUCACAGGGAGCACAGUAAUACCCACACAUUAACACUCCAUUAACAGGCUUUUUUCUCUCUGGAAAGACAGAGUGUAAGAUUUUCUUAGGUAGAUGUGAGAUGCUGAGUUGACAGUGACAAUUCAUGUUGCUCUUGCUGAUUUUCUUCUGUUCUUCCUGUGCUUGAUGAGAUCAUUACUGGAAAGAAUGAUCUGAAGUUGUAGUAUCAGAUUAUCAAUACAGCAGUGGUCACCCAGCUGAGUGAUGCUGCAGCACACAGUGCAUGCACCUCUAUGGUGUGCCUUCCUAAAAACUGUCCAGCUCAAGGCAGGAGCAGAACUCCAGCAGCAGUAAAAUCUGCAGUUCUGAAUGGCUGGAAAAAUAAAGCUGGUGCAAGAGGCAAGCAGGGUAAAAUGCAGGAGAUGUCAGUCUGGAUCUUACCACACCUUGUGCAGUGCCCAGAAAAGCAGUAAUGAAACAGUGUAUCCCAAGGACUGUGAGCUUUAACUGUUAUGAGGAAACACUAGAGAAUGAGGGGUUAAUGGUGAAAGUAAAUAAUCCAGGGUUGCUCAAAUAACAUGAUGGUGACCACUCUGAGUACCAGUUGGCCUUUCAUACUGUCUGCUUCACUAGGUAUCAGUGCUUCUAGACUAAACCAGGCAGUAGGUGGGUGUUGGGAUCUCUGGGUUGUUUCCCACUUCAGGCAACAAGUUCCAUGUUGAAGGUCUUGCUAGUCUCUUAUAAUACUCACUAACAAACACACUAGGAGAAACAGGAGCAAGAGCUUCAGCAUCCAACUGUUUUUAGUUAUUCCUGCCUAAAAGGCUUCUCCUUUUUUAAUAGUAAGACACAUACACAUUUAUAUACAUAUACAUUAAGUUUAGGAUAUACUUGAUGUGGAAUAUUUUACUUGAGAAUUGUUUCAGAACAGCAUUUCACUUAAUUAUGAACUAGGCAAGGGGGUGUAGAGUGAACAAAGGCAAAACAGACCCUACAUGAGGGAUGUUGGGGGGGGGGGGGGAAAGGGGGGGGCGAGCCGAGGAAUGCAGCCUUAUCUCUCACACACCAGGUAAGCUGUGACUUAGGAAUUCCACUACAACCUGCAAGUCACAAUAACUCAGCAAUGGUGGUGGAGACUGUGAUAAUAACUUCUUAGAAUCAAUUGUAAUAUCCCCUCCUAUUCUUGCAUGUGUUAUUUGUCUCUAUAAAGAUCCUGAAACUGUCACUUUUUGCUGUGCAGGCCAGGAGGGGCUACUCUCUCUGCACCCAGCACAUGUGUGCAGCACUGCAAUAAAAUAUACCUGCUUUAUAACUACUUUGAGGUUAUGGAGUUUGAUUUUCCACAAGUCAUACUUAAAAUAUUUCCACUAAAUUUAUGAAAUGUUGAUGAAAGAGGAAGUUUAGUGAUGAUGCAAAGACAAAAAGGAGAGAAAAUGAGGGUACAGGCUGUACAGCUUGGAGGCAACUGGAAAAAGGAAUGUACAGUAGCAGCAGAAAAGACUUCAAAUUAUGUUUAGGUUAGAAACACUACUGAAAGUCAGAAUGGAAUAUUAGUCAGGCAGUCAGAGGUAACACAGAACUUUGCUGACAUCUGUAAUAGAAACUCCAAAGGACAAGAACAUUAGAAACACAUCGUUUAGGAAAAACAAUAAGCUGCAGCAGAAAGGAGUGAGGCAAAAGUAAUGGAAACAAAAGUUGUUUCAAAAUCUGCACUGAGAACAUGCAUAAGUGGUUAUAGAGUGAGUGAUAUGGAAAAAAAAUAGAAUGUAGGGCUUCUGGAAUAGCCUACUCAAAUAAAUAAAAAAAGAGCCCAAACAAACAGAAAAUAGGUGAUACAGAAAGUGCACCGGGCAGAAUGAUGCACAUUAAGGCAUUCUCAGAAAGUUCAAGAGGCAAAGAAUUGCAUUAGUUCAGCUGCGGUUAGGUAUAUCUGGCUCAAAGGUCACUCACCAAGGUCAAUUACCAUCUUAUUUUCCUAGAUUCCAAGGCAAAAAACCACGAUGCUUAUAAAUGCACUCAACAUGAAGAAAAAUACUAGAACCUAAAGCUUGUAUUACUGGAUAAUGCCAGGAUUCAUUGGAAACACAAUGUCAUUUUGAUAAAGUGAACUAACAUCUCAAGGAUAAGAGUUUUGAUUUGUAUUAUUUUAUGGUCCCAGCCUGAAAUUCAAGUGAAAUGAAGCAUAGCAUAUGCUUAUCCACAAGGCAACACUUGAAGUCUGAACUUGAGUCAGAACAAAAAGCUAGAAGUUAGCAGGGUCCCAGAGCACGGCUGCUCACAGAGCAUCUAAGAUAAUGCAUCUUCAUUCAAAUUAUUGUGGGUUUGUUUUGUUUUGUUUUAAAGCCUUCUUUUUUUUUUUUUUUUUUUUUUUUUUUUUACAUGCUGAGUGGUUCUUAACUUUGUCCUAUCUCAUCCAUGAUACCUCAAGAAAGCACAGUUUUCUUUUGUUGUUUCGUCUUGCUUUCAAAAAUAAUUUGUCAGGAAACCCCUCAAUUCUCAUAAGCAUUUCUGUAGAUGUCAGGAAUUUAUAAAAUAAACAUCAUGCCCAAAACAGAGCUUAUUGUCACUUCAGCUCAAGUAGCUCUCCUGUAACUGCUACCACUGCUUAAUAAAGCAUUUUCUCCAGCUGGGAGCAUAGCAGUAGUAAAGAAGGCCAUGGCUGACCAUGGCUGAUUAUUCACUUAGGUUGCCUGAAGACAUUGUAUAUAGUAGAACAGAUUGCAUCAUUCACCCAUCAGAUCCUACAGCAAGUCCUGCUCUAUCUUUUAGCCCAACUGGCCAUGAACAAGACCCACCAUGAAACAUAAUCCCCAACAUCCUACCAGCGGCUCCCUGGCCAGUUAUCUUAUGCCUUAUUUCAGAAUAUUUCUGCAGAGUUCCUCUUCUUUGACAUUUGUUCCUAUCUUGUACCUUUGAUGUAGAAGGAACAAAUCCUCUCACUAUCUACUUCCAGGAGAAAUCAAGUGAAGAAAGCAGCCUUUGAGUGUAGAAGCCUCAUUUUAUUAACAGUCAUUAUUUAUAUUUCACUAUUUCCGUGACUUCACUGAGAGACAGAUGUUGAUGCUUGACCAUGAAGAUCAGCCAAUUCAGCCACAAAGUAAAAGUAACCUUAAAGUCAAACUCCUUCUAUCCCAUCCAGUAAAUGACCCCUGUACUUCAAAGUUCUUGCUUUCAGAAUGGAGGUACUGCAAGCAGACAUUAGCAGAAUCAUAUUGUUAAUGUAAACCAGUUUUAAUAAUGAACUCAUUGUAAUUUCCUUGAUGGCCAUGGAGCCUUCAUAGAUCUGAUUCUCUCUGGGUGUUAGCAUGGCAGGAAGCAUCUACUUAUGCCCCCCAACUGCCUCAAUAAUGUAACAACAUUUUUUCAUAUAUCUAACCUUCCUAUGCUUGCCUUAAGUAGGAAAAAUUAGUCUGGGUAUUCAAAGAUAUUUAGCUAUUGUGCAGUCCAUUCACCAAACCAGACGCCAAAUUCAGACUUGAGGUAGGCAUAUAUUACUUAAGUUGAGGUACGCAAACACUUCUUCAGAAAGACUUUAUUUAACUUCUGGCAUUAUUAUGUGAAUUUGUUUGCCACUGUUUCCCAAAGCUACUCUGUAAGACUCCUCCUAAUUAUUUCAGAAGGGUUAUUUGAUGCUCUAUGGAUAAAGACAGAUGAACAAGUAAAAAUGCUUGGAAGGGCUGAAAAAUGUGAAGUCUCUCUUCCACGUAUAUAAAUCUACUAUUUACAUUCUGAAGUUCCUUAUUCCUUUUUGCCUGGUAUUUGGAAGCUACUUCACGAAUAGUGAGGUAAGUAUUGUAGACUUCCAUUAGUACCAUUAUUAACUUUCCCACUCCAUUAAAAUCACUGAAGUAAGUUUAAGUAUUGUCUUAAACUUCAAUUUUUGCACAUAGUUAUAACUCUGACAAAUAAUUCAUGAGGAAACUUAUUGCUUUCUGCCAUGACAAUUUUUAGGUUUCUAUGCCAAGACACAAUCAAGUGAAACAUUCUGGUUAACAUAGCAAAUAAAUAAAUCUAAACACUGUAAUCACUGGAAAUUCUAGUCCACCAACUAUCCAAAUUAAAUACAAAUACUUUGCUGUAUCCUACCAGAGAAAGAAUCUAUAUAUAGAGAGAAAUAUUCAGAGACGCAUUGAUCUAAUAUAUGACAAAGAGUGGGAAAGAGAAUUCAAUAUCUAAUGACAGCUAAACAAUUUUAGGAGUUUCUGAAAUAAUGACACUUUCUUUUCUGAUUCUCUACAAAAACCCCCAACCAUGUUGCAAUUUUGAGUUUGCAUCAACCUUUGGGAAUAUAAUGGCAAUUAAGACAUCAGGACCUUGGCUUAUAUGCAUGGAUCAGAAAAUUGUCCCAUGUAAUCCUAUUGAUCUUCAACUAACACAAAAACAGCACUGACCAGAAUAUUAGAAAUUUAUAUAUAUGAUAAGUGACAGUACACUGGAUGGUAGAUUUAUGACCUUCUGUGACAUGAAUGCUUGAACAAUUUGCAGUGCUAGAACGAUAACAUUUUCUACUAGUGUCUUAAAAUAUCAACUAAAUGCUGAAUUUGUCUAUAUAGGUGUUUUAAAAAAUUCCUCUUGCAGUUUGAGAGUAGAUAAAAACUGGUAUGAGACAAGCAAAUAAAGUCUUUGAAGAGAAAAUAAAGAGAAUUCACUUACCAACUGGUCAAAAAUAUCAGUCAGAAAUCCUCUCUUUUAUUGAAUUCACUGAGAGGUCAAAGAAAAGUCCACAAUAUCUGGAAGCAGACAAGUUGGAUAUAGCAAUGUACAUUUUGGCAUCAAUGAUGCACGUGAUAAAAGGCUAUUCAAAUUAAAAUGGAUAAAGAUUUGACCUGGAUUUCAUUAUGCUUUCAUUCUUAAACUAUGUACUGUCCCACUUUCAAUUCUAGUCACAAAGUGUCUGAUUUAAUUACCUAAUAUUAAUUUUGAAAUAACAAUAAGUGAAGCACUUUUUCUUUUCUUAAUGUGAAACACCAAACUAGUGGGAUUGGAAUAGCUAUGGUACAGAUUGAAUGGGUCAUUGAACCUCCCAAUUUCUUUGAUCUUUCAAGUAGGGUAUACCUCAUAUGCCUUCACCAUUUUAAUUCAAGACUUCUACCAUAAGUUAGACAUACUUUAUAGUCAAUAGAGAGAGAGAAAAGAUAUCUCCAGAAGGCAAUUUAUUUCACCUACCUCCAGGAUCUUGGCUACUUCUACUGGUGGGAAGACUUGUGCUUGAGAAUAUAGAUAACUGAUGCAGGCUAGAUCUCUAGGUUUUAGACAGUUCACAUUAUAUUAUUUUGAAUCCCAUCGUGAGCUAUUUGUUUGAACGCUUCCUCUGAAAGUUGCAAAACCAACUGAAAUACAAUUCACAUAGAUAAUUCUGAUGAACCUGUUGUAAUGCUAUAACAUGAUGGAAAGUAUAGCAAUAGUAGCAAGGUGACGCAAUCCUAGGCUGCAGCAAACGAGAACAAGCCCAAGUACAGUAGCUGGGAACACAGAAACAAAGGAAGAAAACGUGCUUACCUUUGAAGGGCCUCUGGUAGGCAGGGAUCUCCAAAAAGAUACCCUCACCUCCACUGCCAGCCCUUAAAUGAGGUCUGGGAAGGGGUGGCUCCUGGCUCCACCCCUUCCAUUCACGCAGGUGCAAUGCAUGCACCUGAGCUCCCCUGGGUUGGCUCUACCUUCCCACCAGAUGAUCAAUCACUGAUUCAGGCUGUGACUUAUCAUUUCUGCUACACUCCUCCCUUCACAGCACGAGCCAAUGAUUUGUUUUGCUUGCUGGAAGGCCUCUUGUUCCAUUCUCCUCUAGUCCCAUUUUUGGGCUUUCUUUGUGAGUCAAUACAGAGGCCUCAGCAGAAUUAAGUAGGGUAUAAAGGAACACCAGUAUCCCAAUAUACUCAAAAAUUCUUGCAGCUGUCUUGGCAUGGUAGGGACUAGGAAUGCCUGAGCCUUUUCUAUUAUUGCACUGGGUAGUACUUCGGUCUUUCCUGGCCAAACUACGCCCAGGAAUUUAACCCCCGACUCUUGCACGUUUUGUGGGUUUAUAGCCCAUCCUUUCUCUUUUAACUGAGUAGGUUAAUGAAUCUACUGCAUUUUCUAAUGCCUCCAGCAAGUCAGAUGUGAAAGUGAGAUCAUCAAUAUAGUGGUACUGAUUCAGAUAGGAUACUACUAGGUACUGUAUCAAAUAGGAUAGUGAUUCAAGUAGGAUCCAAGGAUCCUCCUGAUCCAAGUUCUACUCCCCUUCAAAUGAUAUGGGUCUUAAUUUCAAAGGAGAAGUUUCAUUUGAAGGGGAGGCAGUUUGGCCUGUCAAAGAUACGAUUUUACUCUUCAGCUGCCUAAUAGGAACUUUUAAAGGCUCGUUUUCACCCUUCAAUUCUUCCUCUGAGGAAGGAUGUAUGUUAAUAGUGAGUAGCAGCAGCUAUGCCAUAGCGGAUGCUGUCACUACUCUUUCCUCAGAUGUCAAAAAAAUUGUUUUAAUUUAUUCAAGAAGUUUGUCAUUUUUGAAGACGAUUUAAUAAUGGGACCAUUGUCCCUGAUAGGUCCCUGUUCUUCAAUAACAUGUGUGGCACUUAGCCACAGGUACCCUAGAAAUCCUGAGGUUUCCCCCAGGAGUUCCUCUUUCAGUGUAUUUGGGGUCCCAGUGACUAACCAAUACACAUAUUUUUAAGGCAAUCAUCAUAAAUAAGUAUCUCCCUGAGUCACCAAUCGUAAUGCUAUAAUACGAUAGAAAAUAUAGUGAUAGAAGCAAAGCAACACAAUCCUAGGCUGCAGCAAAUGAGAACAAGCCCAAGUGCAGCAGCUGGGGACACAGAAACAAAGGAAGAAAAAUUGUUUACCUUUGAGAGACAUCCUGUAGGCAGGGAUCUCCAGAAGGAUACCCUUACCUCCACUGCCAGCCCUUAUAUGAGGUCUGAGAAGGGGUGGGUUGGCCCUGCCUUCCCACCAGGUGCUCAAUCACUGUUUUAGGCUGUGACUUAGCAUUUCUGCUACACCUGUCCUUAGGGGGCAUCAGAAGGAAUAACUUUUUGUGUGAGUACUAUAAUGAGAAACAAAUGUUUAGAUAGAGGCAAGUGUUUAAACAUUUAACAAGAGAACAACAAAGAAAACCUCAUGAGGAACACAAUUUGUUAACUGUUUUGCUUAUCUGACAUUAUUGUAUAUAUCACAUCCAAUGUUUCCUCCUUUUGUCACAAGUGAAUUUGGUAGUUACUUUAUUUUUAGAGUGGAUGUAAAAUUAUUACAAUCAAUUUGUUCUGAUUUUACAAAAAUAUUAGGAUCAGACAAUAUUUUAUCCGUCCCCCAAAUCUCUAUUUUGGCCCAAGUAUUGUCUUGUGUGAAAAGAUACAAGAUCGUGGCCAGAGCCUAAUUUAUUCAAAUACCAGUUUUUAGUCAGUAAAACGUUAAGCGGUGUUGUGUUACUAAUGAAAUGUAGAAGAACCAUUUAAGAAUGAUUAGUAACAGGUUGUAGAAAUUCAAUGUUUUUAAUGAAUCCAAAUAGUGAAUGAAUAUUCUUUGUCAUUCCCUCCUGCUCUUCAUUUAGUGAACAUUAUUAACACUUGCAUUUUGACAGUCUACUAUAUCCCCUUCCUUCCUCAUCUCCUUGUCAGGCUUUGAGAUUACACACAUUAGCAUGUUCUAUCUCUGGAAAGCAAAAGCAGCAGCUCUAUUUGUAGUUACUUCUUAAUCUAGUUGAAUUGCUUAUUCAAAAUACUGCAACUACAUCCCAAUGUUUUACCUGGGUCUUUGUCAGAGAGGCACUGGAACAGCCUGCCCAGAAAAGGAUGCCCCAUCCUUGCAGGUGCUCAAGACCAGGCUUGAAGGGUUCCUGGGCAGUCUGACCUAGUGGCUGACAGCCCUGCCCAUAGCAGAGGGGUUGGAACUAGACGAUUUUUGAGGUCCCUUCUAACCCAAUCCAUUCUAUGAUUUAUAGCAGGCUUCCUUCAUUGAUUAAAACAAAAUCCCAGGUUGAAACAUUUCUGAGUCCAAGGGUCCAUCCUAUUCCUGUGGUAAACGUGUUAAGGCACUGACCUUACAUAAUGAUGUCCUUUGAAAACUGUAUCUUAGAUACAGAAUCACUGACAAUUUGCUAGGGACACUUUAGUCGCAAAGGCAUUUCACAAAAUCAUACCUGCUGCAUUACAUCAGGUGCAAUAGGUUGCUUCUGGGCUGCAGCAGCAUCUACAAUAAGCCAGGGUUGUGUAUGACCUGUUUGAUCCUCACCCAUGCUGGAGAGUAGGCAGCACGUACUCUCUGACUGUUAAUGGUACUGAUGAGAUGCUUCUGAGAUUGGACAGGAAGGCUGGAUGCUACUGAAUGUUCAUCAGUGGAACCAUGAGACCUUGGGGUCUUAUGGAAAACACCAUUGAGGCAAUUCAGAAUCCAGUUUCCAGUUGAGGGAACAGGUGAGACAGACUGGUGCCAGGGAUGGUGACACAGGUGCAUUGCUGUGCACUAAAUAGGCAUAACUUCACUUAAAUGGAAGAAAGUAAGAUGAUUUGUUACAGCUGAAAGUCCACUGCUGGCUAUACUGUUAUUAGAAUGCUUGCUUUGCAGGAGUAAACCUAUAUUUCUCAGGGGUGUUAGGGCAACCUGGCAAAUGCAAAAUAGAUUUCAUAUUCUGAGGAUGAACAUUUCUGGCGCUGAGCUCAAACAAUGUCUCUUUUAUAGCAUUGCAGCAUGACAGGUGGAGCCUUGUGGUUUCAUGGUAAACAUCAUCUUGGGCUGUUAGCAUUUCUAACUAUUCAUGUUAUAGGUGUGUAACUUAAGCAAUAGAUGGAAUUUAGUUUAAUUAAUCAUCACAAGAAAAAAAAAAAUAAAACUUACAUUUAUGACAGAAGGAAAUGGCAAAGAUGUUUACCAAGCAAGAUUUAAAAGUAUUUGAAAAACUGUGAAAAGUUUUCCGCUGUACUACAUACAAUAUGGACUAAAUAAUACCUUCUACUCAAUUCCACUGAGCCAAGUUCUCUCUGGUGUAAUGCUGCUGACAUCAGCUGACUUAUACUGAGGGUGAAUUUGUUCUGAUAACUUUGAUAAAAUGCAGUGAUAUCUAGAGUACUCUCAAAGACAUGCUUCUCUAGAACUCAGGAUUAAAAGUCCACUUACUUAUUUUUAGUUUGUGAAUUUCUGAUAGAACAAGGCUCAGAAUUACCUUGAAACAACAACACGGACUGUGACUUACAGGGCAGCAGUUUAGUAUAGGAUAUUUAUGACAAUAAAAGUCACAAUAGAAUUUAGGUGACUUACACAUGCCCAAAAAUGUAAAAGGAAGAAGCAUCAAUUUUUUCAAAGGAAUCUUUCUGGUCUUAUUUUUCAUUUCUGUGGGCCCAUAUUGUUGCAGCUCCUUGAGCACCUGUUUCCAAACUGCAAAACCACAAUUUGCUUCAUAGAGUUAACAGUAUAACACCUUUUCAAAAACCCAAAUCUACAGUUUUUCUUCAAAUAAACAUCUCCUAAUGCCUGUGAGAUAAGAUGCAUACAAAGUCCACAGAGUUUAGCGUAUGUUCUUCCAAGAUCUUUGGAACAAUUUUCCACCAUUAAAUGCUGCAGGAAAAGAAAUAAAGGUUUGGAGAAGAGGUGUGGGGUGGAUGAGGAAAACAUCAGAAAAGCUGAUUUGGACAGAACUGAUAACACUGAAUACAGCAAAAAACUUUCAAUAACUUACAGUUCUUGGAAGUCUCCCAUGAAUGGUUAUUUUCUUAGUAGAUGGAAAUGGCUGUCCUAGCAUCUAGAUUAUUAAGGGUAGAAUGAUUCUGCUGACCAUAGGUCAUAUACAUUUAGAAAUCACAAUAAGACCUGCUUCAGAGGUCAUGUUUUCUAAGGGAGGAUUUUACACAUUCCUGGAUAAGACAAGAAUGGAGUGAAAAAUGCAGUUGAUGGCAAGAGUUUAUUAUUUCUUCGCACUAUCCAAAUUGUGAAUGAAUCCCUUUAUUUUGCUUUGUGCUUUUCUACUAUUUCCAACAAAUCUCCACAGCUGAUAUUUGGAUCUCUCCAGAAAUGCAUUCCUGACAGCUGCAGGCAGACAACAAUAGAACUUACGCUUUUGACAUUUGUUCAGACAGUACAUGGAGGUAUCAUCAUAAAACAGGAUGACUGUUUACAGAAAAGCAAGCUUGGGUUUGCUUUUGAUAAGUUGUAUCAAGAAGACUUAAAGACAUUUUAAUUCACCAAACAUUCUUAGACACAAUGUCCCUUUAACACAAGAUCGACAGGUUCCUCAAUAUUUCAUUUCUGAACACAACUAAACAUUAGUGUUUCUGAUGAUGUCUUCAAUAUACAUUACCAUUAACGCUGGUACUAUGCUGACUGAAAUCAAAUUGGUGUGUUAUUAUUAUGUACACUCAUUUGUGAUAGCACAAGAAGUGCUAACGUGUAGAAGAAGAGUUGUCAUGCUCAUCCUCAAAGGAACAUUGUAGAUUGAAGUCACUUUGCAACAGAUUAUAAUAUCUCCCACAAUGUCUGGGUGUAACAAAGAUCAUAGAAUCUUAGAGUGGUUUUGAUUGGAAGGGACCUUGAAGAUCAGCUAGUUCCAACACUCCUGCUUUAGGUAGGGACACCUCCCAGUAGACCAGGUUGCUCAUAGCCUGGUUCAUAUAAGAAUUGUUACCUCAUCCAUAAAAGACAGAAUGUGUGUAAAAGUAAUUUCCCUUUAUCUCCAGCAGCAAGAUGACAGUUGUUUGUGAAAAAUUUUCAAUAAAGGAGAAAACCUAAGAAUGCAUUUUUUGUAUUAAUUUCAGACCAGACCAGUGCUUUUUCUUUUAAAAACCAAGCUACUACUAUUUUUCCUCUCUUACCACAUCAAUUGUGCUCUCCAGAAUAGAAAUAGACCCACAAGUAUCUCCAGACAAGUGGCCCUGGUUUGAUUUACCUGUUGUUAGCAGUUGUACGACAUCUGUUAGCACACGGCUGUCAGCUUUCAGAGUGGCUCUUGACAGAUACAGCUAAGUGACAAUCACUUCUGUGGUUGUCCAG
ensembl:lncRNA